rnacentral:pre_miRNA from 1 species
AAUUUCAUCUGAAAAAGUCAUCAAUAACAAAGUUGUAUAACUCAUCAAGAUCUAUAACUUCUAUUUUAGUCAUUUCUUCAUCCGAUAAAGUGAUUUGUAAGAUUGUUCACAAAAUAUACAUCUCUUAUAUAGUUAAACUAUAUAAGAGAUGUAUAUUUUGUGAACAAUCUUACAAAUCACUUUAUCGGAUGAAGAAAUGACCAAAAUAGAAGUUAUAGAUCUUGAUGAGUUAUACAACUUUAUUAUUGAUGACUUUUUCAGUUGAAAUC